UGGGUUAAGUCCCGCAACGAGCGCAACCCUUGAUCUUAGUUGCCAUCAUUUAGUUGGGCACUCUAAGGUGACUGCCGGUGACAAACCGGAGGAAGGUGGGGAUGACGUCAAAUCAUCAUGCCCCUUAUGACCUGGGCUACACACGUGCUACAAUGGACGGUACAAAGAGCUGCAAGACCGCGAGGUGGAGCUAAUCUCAUAAAACCGUUCUCAGUUCGGAUUGUAGGCUGCAACUCGCCUACAUGAAGCUGGAAUCGCUAGUAAUCGCGGAUCAGCAUGCCGCCGGUGAAUACGUUCCCGGGCCUUGUACACACCGCCCGUCACACCACGAGAGUUUGUAACACCCGAAGUCGGUGGGGUAACCUUUU
rnacentral:rRNA from 1 species